GGCUUAACACAUGCAAGUCGAGGGGCAGCAUGGUCUUAGCUUGCUAAGGCUGAUGGCGACCGGCGCACGGGUGAGUAACACGUAUCCAACCUGCCGUCUACUCUUGGCCAGCCUUCUGAAAGGAAGAUUAAUCCAGGAUGGGAUCAUGAGUUCACAUGUCCGCAUGAUUAAAGGUAUUUUCCGGUAGACGAUGGGGAUGCGUUCCAUUAGAUAGUAGGCGGGGUAACGGCCCACCUAGUCAACGAUGGAUAGGGGUUCUGAGAGGAAGGUCCCCCACAUUGGAACUGAGACACGGUCCAAACUCCUACGGGAGGCAGCAGUGAGGAAUAUUGGUCAAUGGGCGAUGGCCUGAACCAGCCAAGUAGCGUGAAGGAUGACUGCCCUAUGGGUUGUAAACUUCUUUUAUAAAGGAAUAAAGUCGGGUAUGCAUACCCGUUUGCAUGUACUUUAUGAAUAAGGAUCGGCUAACUCCGUGCCAGCAGCCGCGGUAAUACGGAGGAUCCGAGCGUUAUCCGGAUUUAUUGGGUUUAAAGGGAGCGUAGAUGGAUGUUUAAGUCAGUUGUGAAAGUUUGCGGCUCAACCGUAAAAUUGCAGUUGAUACUGGAUGUCUUGAGUGCAGUUGAGGCAGGCGGAAUUCGUGGUGUAGCGGUGAAAUGCUUAGAUAUCACGAAGAACUCCGAUUGCGAAGGCAGCCUGCUAAGCUGCAACUGACAUUGAGGCUCGAAAGUGUGGGUAUCAAACAGG
rnacentral:rRNA from 1 species